GGCUGAACUACGAUCUGUUCGUUGUUGCUUGGUGCUUCCUUCUUCGUCAGAUCUGACUGGGGGAGAUAUUCAUUUCCGUGUUGCAGGCUGGUUCCUAGGAUCGAUGCAGGUGAUAUUUUGGCUGACGAGAUCGAUGUCGUCCAGUUUGUGAUUGCUUCCAUACAUGAAUGCCGCGAGCGCCCACCUGCUGCUAUCAUUUCUCAAGCCGUUUGUGAUGGCAGCAGUGAAGAGCAAAUCCGAGAUGUGUUUGAAAGUGAGGUCGUUGGUGACUCUAACGACACGGCUCGUCUGUGUACGCCUGUUGAAGCUAUGAGAGAAGAUGGAGAUGCAGAGAGUGUCGUCGUCAACAACUCAAAAGGUUCAUGCUGGACUCGGCGGUAAUAAGCACACAUCCAAAACUCUGCGUUGAUACUCUUUUUUUGAGCUAUUAGUGCAGCGAUGCUAGGCGUGCUUAGGAUUGUCCUAAUUUGCGUUUUGUACCCUGCACAUUAUACCUUUGUUCUCAAAAAAUCGUCGAGUUUUGUCUAUGUAUGUCCUAGCACAAAAAACAUGUUCAUGUGAAUUUUGGGAAAUAAAACUUGCAGUGUUAGGGUUGGGAAUACAUCGGAAGAUAGGGAUCCAAACCCAACCAGAGUGCCUGCGCUGGAGGCUUCUAUGCGAGCUUAUACAGACAACAAAGCUGAUACUGUAGUUAAUCCGGCACUCGGGACUAGCUUUGAUUCUGUUGAAGAAGCAUAUGAAUAUUACAACCUGUACUCUUGGGAGUGUGGGUUUGGCGUCAGGUACGCCGAAAGCAGGCUGAAUGUUCAUCGGACAAAAUGUACGCAGGAAUUUGUGUGUGCAUGUGCGGGUAGGCCGUUGCAAACAAACAGUCGCUCUACGAGGUGUGGUUGCUUAGCACUGAUGCGUGUGCUUAGGUCGGAGGACAAAGAUUGGUACAUAUGCGAGCACAAAACAGACCAUAACCAUGCUUUGUCGGUUAACUGUAUGGAGAAAUUGCACUGGAAGUCGCACCGACAUAUAGAUAGGUACACAAGGGACCUAGUGAAACAACUUAGGGAGAAUAAUAUAAGCCUUAGCAAGGUUUAUAGCGUAGUGGGCAGUUUUUUUGGAUCUGUGAAGGAGGUGCCAUUCACAAAAAGGUCACUGAAAACUCUAUGUGGGAAACUGAGCAGAGAGCAGUCGGAAAAUGAUGCCACAAAAACAAUAGAGGUGUUCAAUGCAAUGCGAGCUGAAGAUCCUGAGUUCAAAUACAGUGUGCAGGUUGAUGACGAUGGUCGGGUAAAGACUUUGAUGUGGACAACAGGGCGAAGCAUCGAGCAGUUUAAGUGUUUUGGUGAUGAUGUUACAUUUGAUACAACGUACAAAAUUAACUUAUAUGAUAUGCCAUUUGGUCUUUUUGUUGGUGUCAACAAUCACUUCCAGAGCAUUAUUUUUGGUGGGGUGCUGAUGAGCGACGAGAAAAUCGACACCUUCAAAUGGAUAUUCACGGAAUUCUUCCAGAUGAUAGGGGCUCCACAGCCGCGGACAAUGCUAACAGACCAAGCCCGGGCAAUGGAGGUUGCAAUAGAGGAUGUCAUGAAACAUACAAUCCAUCGAUGGUGCAAAUGGCAUGUGUUGAAAAAAGCAAAAGAGUGUCUCGGACCACUUCUAGGUAAGGGAAUGAAUUCAAGCAGGAGUUCAACAAGAUGGUGCACCAUGUUGUCCGUGAGAAAGAGUUUGAGGAUGGUUGGGCGUGUAUGGUUGAGAAUCAUGGUCUACAGAAAAAUACGUUUCUCACCCAGAUAUAGGAGACACGAAAAAAGUGGGCUAAGCCAUAUUUUAUGGAUGUAUUCUGUGCGAAGAUGACCAGUAUGCAACGGAGUGAGAGUGCAAACCAUUUGCUUAAAGGAUAUGUUCCACCAGGUUCCCCGAUGCAUCUGUUUGUCAGACAAUACGAGAAGAUGCAAUUUGAUAGAGAUUCAGAGGAGAGUUAUCAGGAGAAGAGAACAAAGCUGGGAGGGGUUGUCCUGGCGCAAAACCUGCCAAUUGAGAUACAUGCAUCCCAAAUUUACACGAGGGCAAUGUUUGAAAAAUUCGGGGAGAUGUUGUACGAGUGUGGCUCAUAUGUCCUCACUGAAGUUGUGGCUCGGUGUGAGUACAUUGCCGUGCAUGUGAAGAAAGCUUCGAGGGACAAAUGGUCAAAAAAUCAAUUUCUUGUCCGUGUGAGCGAACCUGUUGACGAAUUCAACUGCGAAUGUGGGAUGUUUCAGCAUUUCGGCAUGGUGUGCAGCCAUGCCUUGAAGGUCAUGGUCCACCUAGGUCUGCAAGAGGUUCCUGCCAAGCAUGUGCUGAAGCGUUGGACAAAAGAUGCAAGGGAUAUACUACCUCAAGAGUUCCUACGUUACCAGAAAGACCAGGGGCCUCUCAAGUACUCUUCCAGGCGUCAUAACAAUCUGCAUCUACUUUGCCUUGAAAUUGUUAGACUGGGCGACAGCAAUGUGGAUUCUUAUGAUAUUGCCAUGGAACAUCUGAGGAAUGUCAAGACUUUGCUAGAGCCGGUUGCUGCUAUACGCGAUGGCAUGGGCUUAUCUGAUAGAGAGGGUGCCGGUGAUUCUACGUGUUCUGGUACAGUACAACAGCAACAUUUUGGUGCGGCCCAUCAGGUGCAUAGCUCGACUCAAUGCUCGGAUAGCUUUGGAGCACCUUCAAAGAAGAGGCCAGCAGGGCGGCCGACGACGAGCCGGGAUAAAGCGCCAUAUGAAAAACCAACCAAGAGGACUAGGUUUUGUUCAAUAUGCGGGGGGCAAGGGCACAAAAACACCACAUGCCCCCAGCGUGGUGAUCUCCCAAAGGCUCCGAGGAAGUCUCCUCGGUGCUCAAGGUGCGGCCUGAUAGGACACAGGAGGAACACCUGCACCAACACACCCAGAGCAGAUUUCUAUGGUUGAUAUUCUGUUUUGGAUUUUAUGCUUGAGAUGCGUCGCCAUACAACUCGUAUGAACUGUUUCGUGAUUUUUAGUUAAUCUAUCUAUUUGUGGUAGUAUUACUGUCA